rnacentral:sRNA from 1 species
CUAACACUACACUUGUAUAAGUCAUGAC